rnacentral:rRNA from 1 species
UGGGGGAAUAUUGGACAAUGGGCGCAAGCCUGAUCCAGCAAUGCCGCGUGAGUGAUGAAGGCCUUAGGGUUGUAAAGCUCUUUCGCACGCGACGAUGAUGACGGUAGCGUGAGAAGAAGCCCCGGCUAACUUCGUGCCAGCAGCCGCGGUAAUACGAAGGGGGCUAGCGUUGUUCGGAAUUACUGGGCGUAAGGGCGCGUAGGCGGCCUGUUUAGUCAGAAGUGAAAGCCCGGGCUCAACCUGGAAUAGCUUUUGAUACUGGCAGGCUUGAGUUCCGGAGAGGAUGGUGGAAUUCCCAGUGUAGAGGUGAAAUUCGUAGAUAUUGGGAAGAACACCGGUGGCGAAGGCGGCCAUCUGGACGGACACUGACGCUGAGGCGCGAAAGCGU